AUCCCGCGUGGACUUGACGCGCGGCGGUAAUUUUCCCGUGCGUCCGUGUCUCGAUGGUUCUGGAUCGCCGCGAUUCAAAACACAUCACACCUCUUUGAUUUGAAUUUCCGUUUUCGAGUUUUUCAAUUGGGCGAGAAGGGGGAGGGGGGGGAGGGCGUUCGCAGAUGUCGGUAUUGUCGUCAGAAGCCGAGCAAUCUCGAAAUCGCAGGCCAGGUGACAAAUUAUAACGACGUAUUACAGACGACCUACUUGUCUUAUAAAACCUAUAAUAACCUAUAGCCCAGUGUUUCCCGAUCUUUUUUUUUUUCUUUUCGACAGUAUGGACCGCUUAGCCGGAAGACUUGAGAGAGGCUUAUUUUUCGGUCCGAUGACUUUUUUCAGAGACUUGUUCAAUUUAUAAUAUUGAUUACGGAUUAUCGUUGUCCGGAACAACACGUGUAUCGUCCACUUUUGAUUUUUCACCGGGCACACACCGAAUUUCUAUUAUCGAACAGAAAAUCGUAUGCGCCGUCGUCGGUUGGGAACCACUGCGCCAUAGCCCGACCGCAUAAUAACAAUAAUAAUAACGUGCCGUCGACACGUUUGUCAGCUUUUUUUCGUCAACGC